CAAAUCUUAGCGGUGGAUCACUCGGUUC
rnacentral:rRNA from 1 species